UACAGAGGUCACAAGCGUUGUUCGGAUUCAUUGGGCGGAAAGGGUGCGUAGGCGGCGCGGUAAGUCGGGUGUGAAAUCUCGGAGCUUAACUCCGAAACUGCAUUCGAUACUGCCGUGCUUGAGGACUGGAGAGGAGACUGGAAUUUACGGUGUAGCGGUGAAAUGCGUAGAUAUCGUAAGGAAGACCAGUGGCGAAGGCGGGUCUCUGGACAGUACCUGACGCUGAGGCACGAAGGCCAGGGGAGCAAACGGG
rnacentral:rRNA from 1 species